rnacentral:rRNA from 1 species
GCCAUGCCGCGUGAGUGAAGAAGGCCUUCGGGUUGUAAAGCUCUUUCUGAGGGAAGAAAACUUUCUUUCUAAUAGGAGUGAGGCUGACGGUACCUUGAUAAGAAGCACCGGCUAACUACGUGCCAGCAGCCGCGGUAAUACGUAGGGUGCGAGCGUUAAUCGGAAUUACUGGGCGUAAAGCGUGCGCAGGCGGUUUGUCAAGUCAGAUGUGAAAUCCCCGAGCUCAACUUGGGAACUGCGUUUGAAACUGCCAGACUAGAAUAUGGCAGAGGGGGGUAGAAUUCCACGUGUAGCGGUGAAAUGCGUAGAGAUGUGGAGGAAUACCAAUGGCGAAGGCAGCCCCCUGGGAUAAUAUUGACGCUCAUGCACGAAAGCGUGGGGAGCAAACAGGAUUAGAUACCCUGGUAGUCCACGCCCUAAACGAUGUCUACUAGUUGUUGGUGGAGUAAAGUCCAUGAGUAACUGAUCUAACGCGUGAAUGAGACCGCCGGGGGAGUACAGUCGCCUCAUUGGAACUCACAGGAAUUGACGGGGGCCCUCAAAGCGUUGGAUUAUGUGGUUUAAUUCGAUGC